AGUGAACGCUGGCGGUAGGCCUAACACAUGCAAGUCGAACGGCAGCACAGUAAGAGCUUGCUCUUACGGGUGGCGAGUGGCGGACGGGUGAGGAAUACAUCGGAAUCUACUUUUUCGUGGGGGAUAACGUAGGGAAACUUACGCUAAUACCGCAUACGACCUACGGGUGAAAGCAGGGGAUCUUCGGACCUUGCGCGAUUGAAUGAGCCGAUGUCGGAUUAGCUAGUUGGCGGGGUAAAGGCCCACCAAGGCGACGAUCCGUAGCUGGUCUGAGAGGAUGAUCAGCCACACUGGAACUGAGACACGGUCCAGACUCCUACGGGAGGGAGCAGUGGGGAAUAUUGGACAAUGGGCGCAAGCCUGAUCCAGCAAUACCGCGUGGGUGAAGAAGGCCUUCGGGUUGUAAAGCCCUUUUGUUGGGAAAGAAAAGCAGCAGGUUAAUACCCCGCUGUUCUGACGGUACCCAAAGAAUAAGCACCGGCUAACUUCGUG
rnacentral:rRNA from 1 species